CAGAGUCCCGAGCACUUCAGCCUCCUUCCUGGAAGGUUCUCCAAGAUUGAUUUCGUGUGGUGCACAAACUGCCAGGAGUGGAGCAAACAUGAGUUGGCUUCUAAGCAACACUGUUUGCUUGGGCCCUUUGCACAACUGGACCAUGUGCAUGACGGGGCCAUUUGCACAACUGGGCUCUUUGCAUGGCUGUGUACCUAGCGGUGCUUCUUCUCUGUUUUGGGUCAUGGCCGAGGGUCUGCUCUUGGAGACAGCCCUGAGUUCCUACCUAAUCUCUAAUGUCUACUGGCGGCUUGACUCAACUUCUCUGCAUGGCAGUUAGAAGCACGCUUCCUUUCCACGACUGGCUGGGGAUUACAUGAGAUAAUGUAUGCUUAGCCCACAGUUCCAGACACAGCUCUGUUUAAGGCUUGUCUGACUUCUGUUCCAACAUGCUUGUGACGGGGACCUUGUCCAGAGGAACUGGCUUACCGUCUGCUGGGGAUCCCUCCUGGGCCCGGAGCUGAGCAAGUGUUGGCUGGAGCAGGGAGCAGGGAGAGAGAGGAAAGGAAUGUCUUCAAUCUCAGCUUCGUGGAGAAUGGCAUUUCCACAUUUUCUGGAUGUGAUCCAACUCUCUGAACUUGGAAACUGGAGCCACUCAGCUUGUCAAAUUUCCCUAUGCUCUUACAAUUGGGAAUAAUAGUUUUUUUUUUUUUAAAGAUUUUAUUUAUUUAUUUGACAGAGAUAAAGACAGCCAGACAGAGAGGGAACACAA